GCCAGCAUGACAUAGUGGUUUGAGUGUUGGACUACAACUCUGGAGACCAGGGUUUAAAUCCCUGUUUGGCC
rnacentral:tRNA from 1 species